GAAAAACUGAGGAACUGAACACGUGUUUGGAUUCUCAAACCAAAAUUUUUUGGAGUAUGAACUCGCAGUCAACUCAAGAUAUAAAAUAGAUGAAACUAUUCUACGAGGUACGAUCUGACAUUAUAACUUCUCUGAAAAGAGAAAAGUAUAAAUAAUUGCAAAUGGAGCUUCAGCAGUGGCGGUUCAAGAAAGGAAUUGUCAUGAAUUUUGGGUGAUGCUGCCAUAUCUUACAUGUGGAUGUUGUACAAGCGGACAAAGAUGAAUUUCCACUAUCUACCGGAUUAUCAUCUUUAAUUUCCACGGUC
rnacentral:lncRNA from 1 species